GUGCCAGCAGCCGCGGUAAUACGGAGGGUGCAAGCGUUGUUCGGAAUCACUGGGCGUAAAGCGCGUGCAGGCGGCUCGUUAAGUCUGGUGUGAAAGCCCGGGGCUCACCCCCGGAAGUGCACUGGAUACUGGCGGGCUUGAGUCCCGGAGAGGAGGGUGGAAUUCCUGGUGUAGCGGUGAAAUGCGUAGAUAUCAGGAGGAACACCGGCGGCGAAGGCGGCCCUCUGGACGGUGACUGACGCUGAGACGCGAAAGCGUGGGGAGCAAACAGGAUUAGAUACCCCAGUAGUCC
rnacentral:rRNA from 1 species